rnacentral:lncRNA from 1 species
AAAGGAGUCCCUAUUGUCAAAAAAUAUUUCAGAUGUGAAGGGAUUCUUUCUUCAACAAUCUCAUCAUUACUCAUUGAAUAUUCCAUGAAUGCAAUCUUUCUUCUUCCCCAUUGUUCUAAUUUGAAAAGUUGAAAGAAUGGAACACGUGUAAACAUCAGAUUUUGCAUGGAAACUCAACCAUCAUGCCCUUUUAUUCUUUCCCUUCUAUAUAUUCUAUUCUAAUUCAUACGUUCCUUAUACUGCUUUCCCAUAUCCCUCAAAUUCUUCUUUGGUUCCAAACUUUUCUAUGGAUCCAGUAAAUCAUCAAAACCUCCAUUACAAGAGUUUCUUCCCUGUUCAUAGUCGCUAUUUAGAAGUAUAUUCAGGUUUCCUCAAUCCUUUUCUUCCUUUUAUUCUUAACCCAUCCUCUGAUUAUUUUCAUCUUUUUUCAGAGGGAAGGUGAACUGAGUCGUGCGUAUGUGAGGCUUAACAGGAACAAGUUAAAGCCACAAUGGGUUUUGAUUGAUGAUGGGGGAAGCAGCAUAUUGUGGGAUAUAACAUGAAUGAAGAAAGGCCUCGCCUAACCACUGGUUGGUAUGAAUUGAGGCAAUACUAUAACCUGGAGGGGAAGUGCAUCAUUUGGUUCCAUGAGGUUGAUGAUUCCAUUUUCCACAUUGAUGUUCGUGAUCAAAACCAUAGAGAAAUUCAAGUUCCUGGAGGUCCUCCUCCAAUAGAUUGGGGCGUGAAUGAUGAUAUUGAUGCUCUUGGUGUUCUUGAUUUUUAUCCUGAAUUUAGGUUUUUCAUGUCAAUCUUAUCAAGGCUCUCCUCCUCUAUAUCAGAGAAAUCCUUCAUCUAUUCCUCCUCCUGUUUCUGAUCCUCUUAAUUUCUCUGACGAUGAUCAAAAUUUUGUUCAAGAGGGUGACAUGCAUCUUGAUGUUCCUAAACAAAAUGUUGUUCAAGAAGCAAUCUUUGAAUGUGAAUUUUAUACUCAGAUCACUCACGAGUUUUACUCAUCAAAUCAAGUUGUAAGUUUAUUUGUGAUUAACUAUUUUUUUUUGUUAUAUGAAUUUCGUAAUUUUUUGUAGUGUUUUUUCAUCUUUGUUACAUACUAAAGCUUUCCAAUGUUCUCAUACAUAUUCUCUAUUUUUUGUUUAAAUGUAGCCUGUUCCCCAAAAUGCUGCUUCAUAUCUCAAAGAAGUUAGGGUUGAUAAGUGGGUUUUGCAUGAAAAGGGUUGAAGAUACUUAUAGUCGAUGACAAAGGAGUAGUAUCUAAUUGUACUCGGAAUGUCAUGUAUGAAGAAGUAUUCCAGAACAUAUGAAUGGUUAGAUUAUCUAUCUUAGAUUUUAUACUUCUUUGUAUCAUGCACAUUGUAAGUAGCCGUGAAAUAUAUUUUUAUGUCUUAUUUAAACCAUUUUCCAAAUUUUUGCAUAUUCAAUAAACUACUAAUGAG